rnacentral:lncRNA from 1 species
AACUAAAAACCAAAUACAGUUAACUCUCAAUGUCUCGAACUCGGUUGACUCGAAAUUUCGGAUGAGUCGAAGUUUUCACGUGGUUCCGAACUUUAUUCCAUACAAAAAUAUGUAAUUCGACUCCUGAUGAGUCGAAAUUGGAUGAGUCGAAAUUUCGGUUGAGUCGAACUAAAUUUACGGUCCCAAGGUUAACAAAAGCAUUCAAAAUUCAUUUUUUAUCUCGAACUAAUACACAUAUGUCAAAACAUGACCUCCGGGAUUUUUAAAUAUGGAUUGAAGAG